UACGUAGGGGGCAAGCGUUGUCCGGAUUUAUUGGGCGUAAAGAGCGUGUAGGCGGCCUGAAAGGUCAGCUGUGAAAACUCGAGGCUCAACCCCGAGACGUCGGUUGAAACCAUCUGGCUAGAGUCCGGGAGAGGUGCGUGGAAUUCCUGGUGUAGCGGUGAAAUGCGUAGAUAUCAGGAGGAACACCUGUGGCGAAGGCGGCGCACUGGACCACAACUGACGCUGAGGCGCGAAAGCUAGGGGAGCAAACAGG
rnacentral:rRNA from 1 species